UACGGGGGGGGGCAAGCGUUGUUCGGAAUUACUGGGCGUAAAGGGCUCGUAGGCGGCCAACUAAGUCAGACGUGAAAUCCCUCGGCUUAACCGGGGAACUGCGUCUGAUACUGGAUGGCUUGAGGUUGGGAGAGGGAUGCGGAAUUCCAGGUGUAGCGGUGAAAUGCGUAGAUAUCUGGAGGAACACCGGUGGCGAAGGCGGCAUCCUGGACCAAUUCUGACGCUGAGUGAGCGAAAGCCAGGGGAGCAA
rnacentral:rRNA from 1 species